CCAAUAGCGUAUAUUAAAGUUGUUGCAGUUAAAAAGCUCGUAGUUGAAUUUCGGGAUCAGUAGGUUGGUCGUGCCACUGGUAUGUACUGGUCUCACUGGUUCCUCCUUCUUGUAGAACCGUAAUGCCAUUAAGUUGGUGUUGCGGGGAAACAGGACUGUUACUUUGAAAAAAUUAGAGUGUUUAAAGCAGGCUAACGCUUGAAUACAUUAGCAUGGAAUAAUGAAAUAGGACGAACGAUCCUAUUUUGUUGGUUUCUAGGAUUGACGUAAUGAUUAAUAGGGAUAGUUGGGGGCAUUAGUAUUCAAUUGUCAGAGGUGAAAUUCUUGGAUUUAUUGAAGACUGACUACUGCGAAAGCAUUUGCCAAGGAUGUUUUCAUUAAUCAAGAACGAAAGUUAGGGGAUCGAAGACGAUCAGAUACCGUCGUAGUCUUAACCAUAAACUAUGCCGACUAGGGAUCGGAUGAUGUUAAUUUUUUAAUGACUCAUUCGGCGCCUUACG
rnacentral:rRNA from 1 species